GACGAACGCUGGCGGCGUGCUUAACACAUGCAAGUCGAACGGAAAGGCCCUGCUUUUGUGGGGUGCUCGAGUGGCGAACGGGUGAGUAACACGUGUGUAACCUGUCCCUGACUUUGGGAUAACUUCAGGAAACUGGGGCUCAUACCCGAUAGGAGCUCCUGCUGCACGGUGGGGGUUGGUAAGUUUCGGUGGUUGGGGCUGGACUGGCGGCUUAUCGGCUUGUUGGGGGGGUAGUGGCUGACCAAGGCUUUGACGGGUAGCCGGCCUGGGAGGGGGACCGGCCACAUUAGGACUGCGAUACGGCCCAGACGCGAAUGGGAGGCAGCGGUGGGGAGUAUUGCAGAGUGGGCGGGAGCGAGAUGUGACAACGCCGCGUGCGGGAAGACGGGCUUCGAGUUGUGAACAGCUGUCGCCUUAGACGAGGCGAUAGUGACGGUAACGGGUAAAGAAGCACCGGCUAACUACGUG
rnacentral:rRNA from 1 species